rnacentral:lncRNA from 1 species
ACACCAUUACAUAGUACUCUAGCGUCAACAUAAAAAAUGAAGCUGUUUAACUUUGUGCUCAUUGGUCAGACUGGUUACAGGUAAGUUUUACAUGUUCUACCUGUGCUUGUCUUUAUUCUUCAUGGUCUAUGUUUGCUGUCUGCUGCCCAGGUAUGCUAUAUGUUUGUCUGUUCUAUUUUCACAGCUCCAAUGUUGACACACUGUCAGCUUUGUCUGACACCCUCAUUUCUUUCGGCACAAGCCCAAGCAGCUUGAUGGAGGAUGAGCCAGUGCUGGAAAAGGAAGAAGGAGGCUCAGUGAACAUUGACACAGGGAAUGGUGUUGAACAGGAGCCAACUCCAAAGCUCAGCAACUGUGAACCAAUAACAGACGAUCUCCUGUUCCUCAAUAAUGGUGGGACAGACCCAGCCAAGACCAGUGGCACUGUGGGUCUCCUGGUCAAUGACAUUGACACUGAUGACGUUAUAAUUACCACACAGACACGCAGCCUCAGCAUGGAGCGAGAGGAGGAGAAGCAGACAGAUGAGACAGCCAAAGAAACACAAAGCCUCACAGAGACAGCCACUAUCACCACCAAAACUGUGAUCAUUACUGACAAAAGUGAAGAGGAAAAUGCAGCUCCUCAGAGUUCACGUGUCAUUACCACAGUCACUGAAUCAAGCUCGGCUGAUCCGUUUGAUCCAUAUCCGAUAGGGACCACAUCCCCUAACAGCUCCUCUGACCUGCUCCAGCCUCUCUCAGAUAUUCCCAUCAACAGUGCUUCACUUAUUUCCAUAAAGAACGAAGAUCCAAGUCCAGAAAUAAACAUGAGCAGUAAAACAUUGGAGUCCCUUGCAGAUGACAUCAUUCCCAUCGAUACUGACACCAGAAGUCUCAGCAGUCACCGGUCAUGGGCACGCACAUGGGAAGUGAACCCACCUCAGCAGACAAACACAGACGAGAGCCGAGAAGCUGAACCAGAGGGCCAAGCUGAAGAUCAACAGACGGUGGUCAUGUUUGAGAGAAAGUCCAAAGAAAAUGAUUCCCCAUGGGACAGGUGGACGUCGCCCACUGUCUACACCAUCAAUACAGAAGAGGAGGAGGAAGAGAAAGAAGAAGAAAGGUAUCUCGACAAUAGCUGAGCUCAUUAAAUGCUUAUUAAAACACUCUUUUUCUACACUUUAGCAGAAUAUGAUAACAGCUCCUUAAAAUUCAGCUGCU